AUUUCUGUUUAUAUAGUUUAAAUAACCUUACAUUUUCACUGUAAAAUUAAAGUUUACUUUUAUAA
rnacentral:tRNA from 1 species